rnacentral:rRNA from 1 species
GCAAGUCGUGCGAGAAAGUAUCUUCGGAUAUGAGUAGAGCGGCGGACGGGUGAGUAACGCGUAGGAAUCUACCUAGUAGAAGGGGAUAGCCCGGGGAAACUCGGAUUAAUACCGUAUACCUCCUUCGGGAGAAAGAAGGCCUCUCUUUGAAGCUUUCGCUACUAGAUGAGCCUGCGUAAGAUUAGCUAGUUGGUGGGGUAAAAGCCUACCAAGGCGACGAUCUUUAGCUGGUCUGAGAGGAUGAUC